UACGGGGGGGGUAAGCGUUGUUCGGAAUUACUGGGCGUAAGGGCUCGUAGGCGGCCAACUAAGUCGGACGUGAAAUCCCUCAGCUUAACUGGGGAACUGCGUCCGAUACUGGAUGGCUUGGAUUUGGGAGAGGGAUGCGGAAUUCCAGGUGUAGCGGUGAAAUGCGUAGAUAUCUGGAGGAACACCGGUGGCGAAGGCGGCAUCCUGGACCAAUAUUGACGCUGAGGAGCGAAAGCCAGGGGAGCAAACGGG
rnacentral:rRNA from 1 species